rnacentral:rRNA from 1 species
CACGCCGCGUGUAGGAAGAAGGCUUUCGGGUUGUAAACUACUGUCAGGAGGGGGGAACCGUCGUUCUCUAAUAGAGGACGGCCUGACUGCCCUCCAGAGGAAGCCCCGGCUAAACACGUGCCAGCACCUUCGGUGACUGAGCGGGCUGGCAAGGCGCAUA